rnacentral:misc_RNA from 1 species
AAAGUCGUAACAAGGUUUCCGUAGGUGAACCUGCGGAAGGAUCAUUAAUGAAAUUCUGACUGAGGUUGUAGCUGGCCCUUCGCGGGGCAUGUGCACGCCUCUUUCACAAUCCACACACACCUGUGCACCUUUGCGUGAGCUUUCUUUUGGGAGCGAGGCGGAAACGUCUCUAGUACCGGGGGGGCUCGCGUCCUUUUCACAAACUCUUGUAUGUCUUCAGAAUGUCUUACCUUGAUGUUAUAAAAACGCAUCUAAUACAACUUUCAACAACGGAUCUCUUGGCUCUC